AGCCCUAGCACUCCAAUUUUGAGCCCAAAACUCUCCCUAUUUAAUCUCAGUUACGCCGCUUUCUUCAUCACACCCCAGAAAGCUUUCGAUCUUCAAUCUCUUCUUCUCCAUUUAAAUCGCCAUUUCUUUGAAUUCCUUGCCCUAAUCUGCGGUUAUUCGAGCUUCACCUUCUUCUCUCGACUCGAGUGGGCUAUGAUUAGAAAGAGAGAGGCUCGAGUGGGAUUCGAAUUUGAAAACCCUGUUCGAUUAAUAUUCCGAGAAAAGCGAUCGACAGAGGAGAAGAAGAUCGAUUGAAGGUGCCGCUGUCUUCUAAUGAUGGCUUUGGUAUCUUCUGAACUUUCUUCUAUCUUCUUUUGUUUCCGUUUUCUUGUGAUUGUUUUGGAUUAGGGUUUUCUCUCACAGUGACGGGUUCUUUUUAAAUUUCUAUACACUUGAUAUGAGCCCUAAGUGUUUUGUGUUUGAUUUGAUUUUGCAUUCGUUGUGAUACAUGUGAGAUUACGAGAUUUUCUCUGUGAGUUUUCUCAUUGAACAAUGGAUGCUAUAAUGAAAGUUUGAUUGCUCUUUCUUCCUUGGAUUUUCCCGGAAAAUUAAAGUUUUCCGGGAAAGAAUAAGGGGUUUGGGCGUUCAGGCAGCGGCCAGACAACCGUAGGGAUGGUAUCCACAGAUGAUGGGUUUCUUUUAUCCCAUUUCGUCUACUGAUUCCAUCUCAUAUUUCUCUCCUUUUUUUCUUUACUUUGGAUCUAGAAAUUUCAAAAUGUUAGUAGUUUUUUAGUCUUUUGGCUUCAAUUUAGUCCUGAUUUCAAAAUGUUUAUAAUUUUCCUUCAAAUGGAUGAAGGAUCAAUUUUGCUACAGUAUUAGACCGGAAGAAAUUUCAGAAAAUCCCCUUUCUUUUGAUGAUUUUUGGUGCUCAGCAAUCAAUGGGGUUUUCUGCAAAAUAGGAAUAAUUUCCAGUCCCUAUGUUUUGCAUUAUUAGUAAGUACAGGAAAUUGAAUUGAAUCAUUCUGAAUCGGCCAACUGUGCUACCAACAACACUUCGGGAUUAAAUUAUUGAGUUUGAAUUCUUAUGGACUCAAAUGCAAUCUAAGAUGAACUCUGUGGACCAAAAGUUUUAACAAUGGAAAAUUAUUUCUAACCUCAAGAUCUGUUAAACUUCAACAAAUUGAGGAAUUAAUGAUCUCUCAAGAUGAGGGAUGAAAAUAAAGAAUUAAUUGGAUUUUUUUCAAUUGGGUAAUUUAGGUUGAAAAAAUGAAGAAUUUAUUACUCCUCAAGUUGCUUAGUGGAAAGAAGGAACUAUAGCUUCUGUUUCAAACAACCGAUGAAAUUGGUGAAGAAACUAUUGAAAUUGGUAGUAAAGGAAAUGAAAAUGAACUAGAUGGUUUAAAUAUCAUUUGGUUCUUAUAUUUGGAGAUUUAUUUGUUUGUUUUUUUUUUUUGAAAGGGGUAAAUGUAUAAUAAACAAUUAACCAAUUUAAUCCACAAACAUUCUCAAUAAUAGCAGAGGAUAAUAGGAUAGGGAAGAGGGGGACCAACAAAACAAAACUCUAAACUACCAAAAGAAAAAAAAGAAACAAAACGCUGCAUGGGCAAGAUGGUGUGCUGCUCUAGAAUUCCUAGUUGAGCCAAGUGAGAGACAACAUGGACAAACUUUGCUACAGAGAUACUUCUCAACCAACCGACUCAUCUCCAAAAUGUCACUCCUCAAAGUGAUAAUAGCAUUCACAGAACAAAAUGUCACUCCUGUUAAUAGCAUGCAUAACUUGGAGCAAUCGGACUCUCUCAUAAACUCACUUGGUUGAUAAUGUCCUUUAAUCACAGCGAGAGUCUCCCACGAUUUUAUAGUUGAGUUAAUCAUCAUUCUUUCACAAUUGGAGAUAAGAGCUAUGGAUGAUCCAAUUAAUCUUUUAACCAACUUAUAACGAACGAGCCCAAGCCCAAGUAUUAAAUUAAAUUUAUUUUAUAAUUUUUAUUAUUUUUUAAAUAAAAUUUAAUAGCUCUUAUAGGUCUUCAAUUCGUAUGGGUUCUAAAUAAAAUUAUUGAUAUUAUAAAAUGUUAUUUAGUAUAUUUAUUUUAUAAAAUAAUGUUUUUUUAAAAUAUAAUGGCAAAUGUAGGGUUGGAGGAAAAAUAUUUUAAAAAUAAGUUUUUAAAUCGUGUAUCGGUCAUACGAUUAUACCUUAAUUGUGUAUCGUGUAUAGGGUAUGCAAUUAUACCUUAAUCGUGUACCAUGUAUCGGGUAUAUGAUUAUACCUUAAUUGUGUACCGUGUACAUGAGUCUUUGUCCAUCUGGCAUGUGGCAGGGUUGACUGAGGUAAUCAUGUACUCGACACACGAUUUACUUUUAUUAAAUCACCGUCUGUCCCUUCUUUCUCAUCGAGCUUUUUGCUUUUUGAAAGCAUCCGAAUGAUUUUGCCUUUUUUUUGUUGCGUUUCUUCGUCCAAAAUUUUGAAAUCUUUCUCAUUUUGCUGUCUUGUGCAUCCAAAUGCUUCCAUUUGCUUGUCUGUCCAAAAAUGUUCGAAAUCGUCCUCCAUUUGUUCGUCCGUCCAAAAUCGUUCGAACACUUCUGUGGUAAAAUUCUCUCUAGUUUGUUUCUUUGGUCUCUCUCUAGUUUUGCAAUAUAAAUCUUUCUAUAUAUAUCAUUUUGUUUGUAUUUGUGCACUCCAUUUACAUAAAAUGGUAACGAAAUUAUAGUUGGCAUUAAGUGGACGAUGAAAUCAUGUGGAAUAUUUAUCUCACUGGCAUGGACAAUCGUUGUGCACAUGGAGAAUUAACAAAUGGGUCAGCUGUAUAGUAAGAGAUUUAAAAUCAGACAAUUUUCAUAUAUCUGAUAUAAAUAUUAUUUAAUAUUUUUUUAUUGUACAGAAUAAUUUUAUCGGCGAUGUUCAAUAAUAUUAAAUGAUGUUGCUGACAUUCGAUACCGAUUGAAGACGUAUUCGUCGUAGACGACAGCGUGAACCUAAUUUAGAGGGACACGAAUCCAAGGUAAGGGCAGGGGGUCACACGAAUCCAAGGUAAGGGAAAGGAUUAGACGGUGAAUGACAGGAAGAAUCCAUGACUCGACUGUUGGGACAUGAUGUCGCUUCCACAUUUGUUCAUUUUAUUAAUUUGACAUGAUUUUUUUUUUUUUUUUUUAAAAAAAAAAGAAAACUCUUGGUUAUUUAGUUUAUUCAUUGGCUAAUU